CCCUUAGAUGUUCUGGGCCGCACGCGCGCUACACUGACGAAUGCAACGAGCUUAUAACCUUGGCCGAAAGGUCUGGGUAAUCUCCAAAUUUCGUCGUGAUGGGGAUAGAUUAUUGCAAUUAUUAAUCUUCAACGAGGAAUGCCUAGUAAGCGCAAGUCAUCAGCUUGUGUUGAUUACGUCCCUGCCCUUUGUACACACCGCCCGUCGCUCCUACCGAUUGAAUGGUCCGGUGAAGCGUUCGGACCGUGGCCUUUGGACGGUUCGCCGUCUGUUGGCUGCGGGAAGUUCGUUAAACCUUAUCAUUUAGAGGAAGGAGAAGUCGUAACA
rnacentral:rRNA from 1 species